UCUGUGGCUGGGUUUUGGUAGCAGGGAGGGCUGCAGGGGUGGCUUCUGUUAGAAGCUGUUAGAAGCUCCCCCUGUCCCGUGGAGCCAAUGCCAGCCGGCUCCAGGGCAGAAUUCCUGCUGCUGGCCAAGGCCAAGCCGAUCAUGAGUAAUAGUAACACCUCUGUGAUAACAUAUUUAAGAACAGAAAGUUGUGGCGCAAGAAGAAUUCCAGUCAGGGAAGAGCGGAGUGAGAACGUGGGAACAACAAAAUGGACACCAAGAUCAAGACAACCCUGACAGUAAGAUAGGAUGGGAGGAUACCACCUGGCUCAGCGUGUGGAACUGAUAUACCAUAAAACGCAAAUUUGUGAAAAGGAAGAUCUGACGUACUCGUAAACAAGUUUACAGAGAGCAUCAUAGCCCUGGAGAAAAUAGAGGUUUUGUGGCCAUCGAAUAGCAUAAAAGCUACAUGAGACAGUUUUUGUGAUCAACAUAGAAGUUUUCUAAGCUGUCAGUGCACUGAAUAAAUGCUCCAGUGACUCUCCCUUGAGGAAUCUGUUCCCAGCAGAGCCCAGCAUCUCAGAUUUCUCCUUCACAUCCUUGAUGCAUACUAAGAAGCUAUGGCUGACAUCUGCUCUCACUGUGAUCUGGCUAACUUCUUCCUCUAACUAACAAUAUGCAUUCUCAACUUCCAAAAUGCUCCUUCCAGUGGAGCAAAGAAGAAUUUAAAUGCCUUUUGGGAGACUCUCAGGAUAGACACAUAGGGCACUGCCAUGCAUGUAUCUGACAUAUUUUAAGAAACACUUAAGCUACAUAUUUUUGUAAUAGAAGGCACAGUUUAAGAAAUAAGAUACUGAAUAAAGAUAGAGAAAUAGUGCAAAAA